rnacentral:rRNA from 1 species
AUGGUCUUCAUGUUCCAAUUCAUGGUGCUUCAUUACAUUAUGGAAUCUUCAAGUGGUGACCAUAGGACUGAACAUAUUGAGCGACAGAGUGGUGGGUGUUUGCAACCAUUACCGGGAGAGACUGACCAACAUUUAGGAGAUGCUGAAAUGGAAGUUAACACCGACAAUGGGGGCAAUACUCAUGCAGAUCCACCUUACUUAGAACCACAGACUUUGGCUCCUGUGCCCAGCCAGACUUCCUUGCAAAUGUCUAAGGAAGUUGAAGCCGAGGCCAAUCUUGUAAUACAGUCAGCCCAACCAAUUGUAGCACCAGCGCAACUUCUGCAAAGAGAGGCAGAACAAGUAGGCCGUUCUGGUAUAACACCAGCUCAGACUUUGCGACCUGAAAUGCAACCAUCAGCAUCCAGGGAAGCUUAUACUCAGACAGAUCUGAUAAUUCAGUCUGCACAACCAAGUAUGGUGCCAACUGAGCUUUCACAAAGAGAUGCCGAACAAGCAAACCUUUCUCGUGUACCAUCAUCUCAGUGUUUGCCAUCUGCAAUGCAUCCAUCGGUUCCACCAUCCAGUAUUCUGCUUGAAAGAACACACCCUGAUCAGUGUCAACCACCAAGUCAUCAACCCGAGGCUGCACCGGGUUCUUCAGCACAACUCUUUCCGUUGGCACCAAGGAUGUUUAAUCAUCCACCAGUUGGUGAUGAUCCACUGAAAAAUGAGUUGCACAGAUUCCGGUUACACAUUGACUCGCUUAAUAAAACCCACGAGCUAAAGCAAUCACAACUUAGGACCGAGUAUAGCCAAGAAAUGGAGAAGCUCAAACAAAAGUAUGAUUUGUUACUUCAAAAACAAGAUUCCACUCAUCUUCAGCAAACGGAGACACUAAAUGAUUUAUGUGAGAAAGUUCUCCUCAACCAGUCACUAGCUGACAAUCUUCGGAAGGAAUUCAUAUCUUCUGGAGACCAAGUUAGAGCCCACAGCCCUCCAAAUCACCAGACACCCCAGGCUUCUCAGCAAGUUCCCACGAGGUCUUCAGCGGUGGCAUCGACUGCAUCACCAACUGCGUCGUCGUCAGCUGGUCGACCUCCAGUGCCGAUACAUCAUGUCCAACUAUUUCAGGUCGAUCGACCAUCACCAUCAUCAUCGCCAUCUUCACAAGUGGUCAGACCACAUCCCUCCAUACUAAGCAACAUUGCCAGAUCAACAUCAACUAGAUUUAGUCCCGCGCCAGUUCUGCCACGGGGAAGCUUUGGAGUCCACAGUGAACUAGCACGUGCACCUGCUCCUCAUCUUCAGCGCAGGUUGCCUCCACAGGUGCAUUCAAUGGUAUCUGCAAAUCAGCAGCAGCUUCCAACUAGGCUGGAGAGCAUGUCCGCAAGGACAUGGUCUAUCCCUGUGACUCCAAUAAAUAUAAGACAAUCAUGCCCACAGGCUGCUCCCCCAGGGAACCCAUCACUGUCAAGCUUGCACCCAAGUUCACACCCCACUAUACCGGCACUCUUGGGGCCAUCAAGUUCACAUCAAAUUCGGCAGGUUCCAGCACUGCCAUCAAGUUCACACCCAACACACCUGCUGUCGCCAGUACCUUGGAUUCCAAAUCCAGUUCUUCCACUAACAUCACAGCAAGGUUUGACAACGACAUCUAGCGUUUCAUCAGCUGCGUUGAAUGUGUUGCCAAGUAAAGGUGUUGGGCCUUCAGCAUCAGGCUCGGCGGAGUCAGAUUCUGAUUCAGCAUCACUGAAUGAAUGGCUAACAGGUCUUGGGCUGCCCAGUGAUCCCCAUGACAUGGAGGCUUCUGCUAAUGUAAUAUACCUAUCUGAUGAUGAAGAGACCGGUGACCAAAACAAGCAAAAAUCGGCGCUCAUCACUGAAGAGCUCCAACAGAAGCUUGCGGUCGAAGGUGGUACUUGCAAAGAAGAAAAGUGA